rnacentral:rRNA from 1 species
UUAAGCGACUAAGCGUACACGGUGGAUGCCCUGGCAGUCAGAGGCGAUGAAGGACGUGCUAAUCUGCGAAAAGCGUCGGUAAGGUGAUAUGAACCGUUAUAACCGGCGAUGUCCGAAUGGGGAAACCCAGUGCAAUUCGUUGCACUAUCGUUAACUGAAUACAUAGGUUAACGAGGCGAACCGGGGGAACUGAAACAUCUAAGUACCCCGAGGAAAAGAAAUCAACCGAGAUUCCCCCAGUAGCGGCGAGCGAACGGGGAGCAGCCCAGAGUCUGAAUCAGCUUGUGUGUUAGUGGAACGGUCUGGAAAGUCCGACGGUACAGGGUGAUAGUCCCGUACACCAAAAUGCACAGGCUGUGAACUCGAAGAGUAGGGCGGGACACGUGGUAUCCUGUCUGAAUAUGGGGGGACCAUCCUCCAAGGCUAAAUACUCCUGACUGACCGAUAGUGAACCAGUACCGUGAGGGAAAGGCGAAAAGAACCCCGGCGAGGGGAGUGAAAAAGAACCUGAAACCGUGUACGUACAAGCAGUGGGAGCACCUUCGGGUGUGACUGCGUACCUUUUGUAUAAUGGGUCAGCGACUUAUAUUCUGUAGCAAGGUUAACCGUAUAGGGGAGCCGCAGGGAAACCGAGUCUUAACUGGGCGUUAAGUUGCAGGGUAUAGACCCGAAACCCGGUGAUCAGCCAUGGGCAGGUUGAAGGUUGGGUAACACUAACUGGAGGACCGAACCGACUAAUGUUGAAAAAUUAGCGGAUGACUUGUGGCUGGGGGUGAAAGGCCAAUCAAACCGGGAGAUAGCUGGUUCUCCCCGAAAGCUAUUUAGGUAGCGCCUCGUGAACUCAUCUUCGGGGGUAGAGCACUGUUUCGGCUAGGGGGUCAUCCCGACUUACCAACCCGAUGCAAACUACGAAUACCGAAGAAUGUUAUCACGGGAGACACACGGCGGGUGCUAACGUCCGUCGUGAAGAGGGAAACAACCCAGACCGCCAGCUAAGGUCCCAAAGUCAUGGUUAAGUGGGAAACGAUGUGGGAAGGCACAGACAGCCAGGAUGUUGGCUUAGAAGCAGCCAUCAUUUAAAGAAAGCGUAAUAGCUCACUGGUCGAGUCGGCCUGCGCGGAAGAUGUAACGGGGCUAAACCAUGCACCGAAGCUGCGGCAGCGACACUAUGUGUUGUUGGGUAGGGGAGCGUUCUGUAAGCCUGCGAAGGUGUGCUGUGAGGCAUGCUGGAGGUAUCAGAAGUGCGAAUGCUGACAUAAGUAACGAUAAAGCGGGUGAAAAGCCCGCUCGCCGGAAGACCAAGGGUUCCUGUCCAACGUUAAUCGGGGCAGGGUGAGUCGACCCUAAGGCGAGGCCGAAAGGCGUAGUCGAUGGGAAACAGGUUAAUAUUCCUGUACUUGGUGUUACUGCGAAGGGGGGACGGAGAAGGCUAUGUUAGCCGGGCGACGGUUGUCCCGGUUUAAGCAUGUAGGCUGAUUGUCCAGGCAAAUCCGGAUAAUCAAGGCUGAGGUGUGAUGACGAGGCACUACGGUGCUGAAGUAACAAAUGCCCUGCUUCCAGGAAAAGCCUCUAAGCAUCAGGUAACAUUAAAUCGUACCCCAAACCGACACAGGUGGUCAGGUAGAGAAUACCAAGGCGCUUGAGAGAACUCGGGUGAAGGAACUAGGCAAAAUGGUGCCGUAACUUCGGGAGAAGGCACGCUGGUGUGUAGGUGAAGUCCCUGCGGAUGGAGCUGAGACCAGUCGAAGAUACCAGCUGGCUGCAACUGUUUAUUAAAAACACAGCACUGUGCAAACACGAAAGUGGACGUAUACGGUGUGACGCCUGCCCGGUGCCGGAAGGUUAAUUGAUGGGGUUAUCCGUAAGGAGAAGCUCUUGAUCGAAGCCCCGGUAAACGGCGGCCGUAACUAUAACGGUCCUAAGGUAGCGAAAUUCCUUGUCGGGUAAGUUCCGACCUGCACGAAUGGCGUAAUGAUGGCCAGGCUGUCUCCACCCGAGACUCAGUGAAAUUGAACUCGCUGUGAAGAUGCAGUGUACCCGCGGCAAGACGGAAAGACCCCGUGAACCUUUACUAUAGCUUGACACUGAACAUUGAGCCUUGAUGUGUAGGAUAGGUGGGAGGCUUUGAAGCGUGGACGCCAGUCUGCGUGGAGCCAACCUUGAAAUACCACCCUUUAAUGUUUGAUGUUCUAACGUUGGCCCCUGACCGGGGUUGCGGACAGUGUCUGGUGGGUAGUUUGACUGGGGCGGUCUCCUCCCAAAGCGUAACGGAGGAGCACGAAGGUUAGCUAAUCCUGGUCGGACAUCAGGAGGUUAGUGCAAUGGCAUAAGCUAGCUUGACUGCGAGCGUGACGGCGCGAGCAGGUGCGAAAGCAGGUCAUAGUGAUCCGGUGGUUCUGAAUGGAAGGGCCAUCGCUCAACGGAUAAAAGGUACUCCGGGGAUAACAGGCUGAUACCGCCCAAGAGUUCAUAUCGACGGCGGUGUUUGGCACCUCGAUGUCGGCUCAUCACAUCCUGGGGCUGAAGUAGGUCCCAAGGGUAUGGCUGUUCGCCAUUUAAAGUGGUACGCGAGCUGGGUUUAGAACGUCGUGAGACAGUUCGGUCCCUAUCUGCCGUGGGCGCUGGAGAAUUGAGGGGGGCUGCUCCUAGUACGAGAGGACCGGAGUGGACGCAUCACUGGUGUUCGGGUUGUCAUGCCAAUGGCACUGCCCGGUAGCUAAAUGCGGAAGAGAUAAGUGCUGAAAGCAUCUAAGCACGAAACUUGCCCCGAGAUGAGUUCUCCCUGAGACUUUAAGUCUCCUGAAGGAACGUUAAAGACGAUGACGUUGAUAGGCCGGGUGUGUAAGCGCAGCGAUGCGUUGAGCUAACCGGUACUAAUGAACCGUGAGGCUUAACCU